rnacentral:rRNA from 1 species
UACGGGGGGGGCAAGCGUUGUUCGGAAUUACUGGGCGUAAAGGGCUCGCAGGCGGCCAACUAAGUCAGACGUGAAAUCCCCAGGCUUAACCUGGGAACUGCGUCUGAUACUGGAUGGCUUGAAUUCGGGAGAGGGAUGCAGAAUUCCAGGUGUAGCGGUGAAAUGCGUAGAUAUCUGGAGGAAUACCGGUGGCGAAGGCGGCAUCCUGGACCGACAUUGACGCUGAGGAGCGAAAGCUAGGGGAGCAAACGGG